GACGAACGCUGGCGGCGCGCUUAACACAUGCAAGUCGAGCGAGAACCAGGGCUUCGGCCCUGGGGACAGCGGCGAACGGGUGAGUAACACGUGGAUAACCUGCCCUCGGCACCGGGAUAGCCCGGGGAAACCCGGAUUAAUACCGGAUGGCCCUUCCGGCUCACGAGCCGGUCGGAAAAGGUAGCUUCGGCCUCCGGCCGAGGAUGGGUCCGCGGCGGAUUAGCUUGUUGGUGGGGUAACGGCCUACCAAGGCUCCGAUCCGUAGCUGGUCUGAGAGGACGAUCAGCCACACUGGGACUGAGACACGGCCCAGACUCCUACGGGAGGCAGCAGUGGGGUAUCUUGCGCAAUGGGCGAAAGCCUGACGCAGCGACGCCGCGUGAGGGAGGAAGGCCUUCGGGUUGUAAACCUCUUUCAGGAGGGACGAAGCUACUCGGGUGAAUAGCCCAGAGGGUGACGGUACCUCCAGAAGAAGCCCCGGCUAACUACGUGCCAGCCGCCGCCGUAAUAC
rnacentral:rRNA from 1 species